rfam:Buttiauxella agrestis ATCC 33320 GBAG.assembly.061, whole genome shotgun sequence.
GCAGCAGCCUGAUGACCACAAUUAUUACAACCACCAUUACCACAGGUAACGGUGCGGGCUGACGCAUACCAGGAAAAACGAAAAAAGCCCGCACCUAAAUAGUGCGGGCUUUUUUUUG